AUAUGAUCUUUUUUUUGUCAACGUUGUUUCAUUUUCAUUAGCCUAAUGGGCAAGAGAAAAAAAGUACAAACAAGUCUAUUAAGUCCCAGAUGACAUAAACAGAUUACCAUGAAAGACAAGAAAAAGAUACACGUAAAAGACAGUAGUCUUCCAUUUACUCAACUUUGGGCCACGUUGCAGCCAGAGAGGAAGCGCUUCAUGCACUUACCGCUGACUAUACUUCGCCGUCGCCGUCGCCGGUAUGGUUCUGCCAUGAAUUCACCAUCUUGAACACCUCCGGUUACCGACGCGAUCUGACUUUCGUUUUACCUCUGUCUCAUUACUCUCUCACUAAUCACCAAAGCAUGAAACUAGAUCCACUUUCAUCACCUUCAUGAAGCACUAGAGACCCAAAGGAGAACCAGAUCAUUCGCUGAGACAUCCAUGAACAAACCUCAAUUCUGCUUAAUAGAAUUCCGAAUCCCUAAAGAUCUCUAAUCAACCUGAAUCACAUCCAAAGAACACUCCACGCAAGGCCUAAUUUAUUGACCGAAAAGCAUGAAGCUUUACUUCUAAUGGAAGCGAACAAGCAAAGAUGAAGAGAAGAAGAACGUGAUACAUGUGCUUUGUAUUUAGAGCAAGCAAAGAGGAUAGGUCCAACCAUCCUAAAGAUUGGAACCAAACAGACUUUAUUAAAAUCAGUUUGAAUCGGAGAAAACAUAAGAAACUUGAAGCAAAGCUCCAAUUUUAAAACACAUCAAAAUUUGUCUAGCGAAAUGAAAAUCCGACAAACGGAAAAGACAAUCGAUCUUUCGAUCAAAUUAUUUUAUAUCAAAACAAAAGAUCUCUUCCUCUUCUGAAGGAUUUUGUACCGGUAAGAAGGAGAAGAAGAGAGAGCAAUUUCUCUCUCUAACAAUUUACAUGAUCUCAUAAAAUAAUUAUGACCGAACUGAAUAUCAAUACAAAUAUAUCAGUUUGGAUAUUUGGAUCCAACUAAAUCGCAUAAGCCCAACGUCAACAUCAUUCUCGAC
rnacentral:lncRNA from 1 species